rnacentral:lncRNA from 1 species
GCAAACUUGUUGGUGGCUGGAGAUGGUAUUGCCCGGAACUGCACAGAGGAUGCCUAUGCAUAGUAUCUUGAGGAGGCUGAGCCUAUUGCGGCAAGAAUGACCAAGUUCAUAUCCUUGGAGGAACACUAGUCAUUUAAACUCGUGUUGUAUUUUUUGCCGAACACUUGUGGCUGUACUCGAACAAUUGUCUUGUAAAUCUUGUUCUGUCAGGAAA